rnacentral:rRNA from 1 species
AGAGUUUGAUCCUGGCUCAGAUUGAACGCUGGCGGUAUGCUUUACACAUGCAAGUCGAACGGGCUAUGGGGCUUGCUCCAUAGUUAGUGGCGAACGGGUGAGUAAUAUAUCGGAACAUAUCCGGAAGUGGGGGAUAACGUAGCGAAAGUUACGCUAAUACCGCAUAUGCCCCGAGGGGGAAAGGGGGGGAUCGCAAGACCUCUCGCUUUCGGAGUGGCCGAUAUCGGAUUAGCUAGUUGGUGAGGUAAAGGCUCACCAAGGCGACGAUCCGUAGCUGGUCUGAGAGGACGACCAGCCACACUGGAACUGAGACACGGUCCAGACUCCUACGGGAGGCAGCAGUGGGGAAUUUUGGACAAUGGGCGCAAGCCUGAUCCAGCCAUACCGCGUGAGUGAAGAAGGCCUUCGGGUUGUAAAGCUCUUUCAGCCGGAAAGAAAUUGCUUCUAUUAAUACUAGGAGUAGAUGACGGUACCGGAAGAAGAAGCACCGGCUAACUACGUGCCAGCAGCCGCGGUAAUACGUAGGGUGCGAGCGUUAAUCGGAAUUACUGGGCGUAAAGCGUGCGCAGGCGGUUUGGUAAGACAGACGUGAAAUCCCCGGGCUUAACCUGGGAACUGCGUUUGUGACUGUCAGACUAGAGUGUAGCAGAGGGGGGUAGAAUUCCACGUGUAGCAGUGAAAUGCGUAGAUAUGUGGAGGAAUACCAAUGGCGAAGGCAGCCCCCUGGGUUAACACUGACGCUCAUGCACGAAAGCGUGGGGGAGCAAACAGGAUUAGAUACCCUGGUAGUCCACGCCCUA